UACGGAGGGGGUUAGCGUUGUUCGGAAUUACUGGGCGUAAAGCGCGCGUAGGCGGACUGGAAAGCUGGGGGUGAAAUCCCGGGGCUCAACCCCGGAACGGCCUCCAAAACUAUCAGUCUAGAGUUCGAGAGAGGUGAGUGGAAUUCCGAGUGUAGAGGUGAAAUUCGUAGAUAUUCGGAGGAACACCAGUGGCGAAGGCGGCUCACUGGCUCGAUACUGACGCUGAGGUGCGAAAGCGUGGGGAGCAAACAGG
rnacentral:rRNA from 1 species